rnacentral:rRNA from 1 species
AAGAGCUCGUAGGUGGUUUGUCGCGUUGUUCGUGAAAUCUCACGGCUUAACUGUGAGCGUGCGGGCGAUACGGGCAGACUUGAGUACUGCAGGGGAGACUGGAAUUCCUGGUGUAGCGGUGGAAUGCGCAGAUAUCAGGAGGAACACCGGUGGCGAAGGCGGGUCUCUGGGCAGUAACUGACGCUGAGGAGCGAAAGCGUGGGGAGCGAACAGGAUUAGAUACCCUGGUAGUCCACGCCGUAAACGGUGGGUACUAGGUGUGGGUUUCCUUCCUUGGGAUCCGUGCCGUAGCUAACGCAUUAAGUACCCCGCCUGGGGAGUACGGCCGCAAGGCUAAAACUCAAAGAAAUUGACGGGGGCCCGCACAAGCGGCGGAGCAUGUGGAUUAAUUCGAUGCAACGCGAAGAACCUUACCUGGGUUUGACAUGCACAGGACGCCGGCAGAGAUGUCGGUUCCCUUGUGGCCUGUGUGCAGGUGGUGCAUGGCUGUCGUCAGCUCGUGUCGUGAGAUGUUGGGUUAAGUCCCGCAACGAGCGCAACCCUUGUCUCAUGUUGCCAGCGGGUAAUGCCGGGGACUCGUGAGAGACUGCCGGGGUCAACUCGGAGGAAGGUGGGGAUGACGUCAAGUCAUCAUGCCCCUUAUGUCCAGGGCUUCACACAUGCUACAAUGGCCGGUACAAAGGGUGGAUGCCGCGAGGUUAAGCGAAUCCUUUUAAAGCCGGUC